UUGCUCUCUUUUUCUCUUAAGGAAAGUGUUAGGAAGCUCCCUUGAGUCUUUCUCUUGAGUCCAAGGGUUCACACAACAAAAGAAAGAAAAUUCUCUUAACUCUUCCCUCACUUUCAUUCCCACGGGUCCUAAACCAAAAGAAAGAAAAUUCUCUCAAGCUCUCUACCUCUCAUAAUUUUGGGCCCAGCCACUAGGAAAUGGGGAAAUCCUUCCAUGCAAGAGUGAUUCUAUUUCUUCUUGGAACCAGAAAUUUGGUGUUAUCAGUAUCCAGGUCUAAGCUCCUUCGACUGUAGGCUCUCGGUUCCUCUGCUUUCAGGUAAGGGAUAAGUUAUAUGGGCAUUUGGUAAGUCAUGAGGUUAUUUUGAAGUAGAUUAUGUAUUAAAAAUGUUUUUGAUUAGAGAUAUGGCAUAUAUUCAUUAUUCUGACAAGAUAUGUUCGUGAGUUCUCGAAACCCUAUGUAUAUGAUUUAAGUAGAUUGAUGCCAUUACUAAUUUUCACGAACAUGAUGUUUAAUAAAAAGAAUGGAAAUGCUAUUAUUAUGAAAUGUUAUGCAAAAGAAGAAAUUUCAGUAUGAUGUAAAAGUAUGAAAUGUUUUCGGGUUAUGUCCUCUGAUGAUCUGAACUCUGUCAGUAGGGGUUAAUUACUGA